CUACGGGGUGCUCCAGUGGGGAAUAUUGCACAAUGGGCGAAAGCCUGAUGCAGCAACGCCGCGUGAGGGACGACGGCCUUCGGGUUGUAAACCUCUUUUAGCAGGGAAGAAGCGAAAGUGACGGUACCUGCAGAAAAAGCACCGGCUAACUACGUGCCAGCAGCCGCGGUAAUACGGGGGGUGCAAGCGUUGUCCGGAAUCAUUGGGCGUAAAGAGUUCGUAGGUGGUAUGUUAAGUCUGGUGUUAAAGGCAGAAGCUCAACUUCUGUAAGGCACUGGAUACUGGCAAACUUGAAUGUGGUAGAGGUAAAGGGAAUUCCUGGUGUAGCGGUGAAAUGCGUAGAUAUCAGGAGGAACAUCGGUGGCGAAAGCGCUUUACUGGGCCAUUAUUGACACUGAGGAACGAAAGCCGGGGUAGCAAAUGGGAUUAGAUACCCUUGUAGUC
rnacentral:rRNA from 1 species